ensembl:lncRNA
CCCCCCAAAUAAGAGCUCAUCCACACCAACUGAGAGCAGCUGUGUUAAUUUACAGGUGUAGAAGGCAAGCUUCUCAAGGAAAAAAGCAACAACACACAGCUGCUUUGUGAACCUCAAUUCCAUUUUCCAUACAGAUGGCUUAAGAAGUUAGGAAGAGAUCCGAGCUUUCAGAAGCAAUGUUUCUGAGUGUUGCAUCUAUCAAGCUCUGCUGAAAGCUGUGCUUUCUUGUGGGCAGCUCAGAACUGAGCAUCUCUCAUGGAAGUGCUCAGCACAAGCAGUGGGAUGUACUUCCCUUUUUGUUCACACGGGUGUUUCCUUGGGUUUUACUACUUCAUAUCAGCACCUGGAGAGGCAGUGCCUUCCUUUACCCAAGCCUGACUGCAGGGAGACCCUUCCCUCUGAUGGUUCAUGAACAUGUGUGUCUGUUCACACAUGUGCCCAUUUUCCUUCCAUUCACCUGCCAGGAAGGUUUCUAAGAAAGCAGAAAUUGCUGGAGGUCUCCAAGCACAGAAUUGUGAUGCUGGAGGCAAUAUGCACAAUUUGCAGUUUGGGACCGUGAGCUCAGAUCUGUGUACGUGGUGUUUAAUGUGCAGCAAUGCACAUAGGAGGGAUUAUUCAUAGCGCCUACAACUCAACACCUUCAUUUAGUUUUAACGAGGCAAAGAAUCUGCGGAGGAGAUAAACAGAGUACUCUUAUUCCUGCUCAUGGGGUGAAGGAUUUGCCAAAGGCCUCAACAAAAGCAACAGCUGCUUUGUGAUGCUGAGCACAGAAGUACCUCUAUGGCAUCCUGCAGUAUUGCUGUCCCAGGCACAAGCUCUCCUCAGCCUACAGCUGAACACAGAAGACAAUGAAAUACAUCGCUUUGCUGUGCAAGAGGUCUCCCAGAUGAAGCAGAAAGGCAGCCCUUGCCCUUUAUGAAUUUAGCAGCUGAAGACUCCAACUCUUCACACCUUGCCAUUCUUACUCCAGUGUUGCACUGCUCAGCACUGGAGAAAUCGAACCCAAGAGGACACUCAGCGCUUUUAUUGCAGCCAACAAAAUUAAAGGCAAAAAGUCCAAUACCCCCUCUUCAUUUUCUUUGGACUGUCCUGUGCUGUGCUGUGCAUUAUGGAAUGGUUCAAAGUUGCAGUAAAACCUUCCCUUCUCUCGGCAAAAGAAAAAGCUAAAAAGUAUCCUAAGUAACCCACAUCCACUUCUCUUUCCUCUUUUAUUAAAAUCUAAUCACUUCUAAUAAACAGUUCUUGUUUCUCCCUUUAGUGACAGCUUAGAGGAGGUUUUGGUAAUGACUGUCUUUUAACUGAGCUGAGCUCAAUUAACUGGGCAGAAAAUUAGAAGCCAUGUCUGCAAAAUUAACAGGAAAUACAUCGUUUUCUGGCAUGCAAAAAUACAAUUCCUUCCUACCAAAUUUGGCUUAGAUUUAGCAAAACAUGUUCCACAGAUGGAGAUUCUUUCAAAAACAAAUUAGCCAUCCUAAGCUAACCAGGCUCUAAUGGUGCUGUUAGGACAAAAAGAUAAAAAACAAACAGUCCAGCAAUAUUAAUUAUAUUUUUUCCUCUUCUGUCAAUGUAUUCCUUGCCAGCUGGUUGUGUCUUACGUGGACAUGAUUGUUAGAGUAAUAACUGUUAGCCUAGCAAUAUUCUAAGGCAAAAUUCAGCCUAUGAGUUGCUGAAAAUGUCCAUCUCCACCAUUUGCUGUGCAAUAUCUGGGGCCAAAGCAUUCUGUGCAGCGCCUUUGGAAGAAAUACUGAAGUAUUAGUGCAGAAAUGGUGAAUCAGAGUAUUCUUUUUUCCCAUUGUGAAUCUUCUGACGAUAUAUGGUGUGCACUGCUUUGAGUUAAUGCAAACAUCUCUGUGAAUCAGGGCUCAGCCAAUGGACGGCCCUACGCAAGCUAACAGCGAGCGAGGGAGUUCAUCUCUUCUGUUUGAUAAGGUUUUGUUGCGUUCAUCCAGCUCUUGCCUUGCGUGUAUGGAAGCAGUUAGGUUCCUCUGAGCUUCCCUUGUUUCGAUACAGGAAAAGAACGAAGCUGCUCCUUUGAUCAUGCACUACUCACGAUGAAUCAAAACCCACCAGAGCACUCUGCCAGAUCUUUUGUGGUAAAGCAGCAUCCUCUCUUUGCAACGAGCCUUUCUACUUCCUUCCACAAAAUGAGACAUCAGAGGAACACCACUGGCAGAGGAAGCUGACAAAAGGAAGGUAUCCUGAGCGAAAAUCAUUCCCCUCCUAAGACUGUAUUUGGAUAUCUCAGAGGUUUCUGGGAAAACGGCUCAGCACACACAUUAUGUUCCCCAGCACCCCGGCUGUUAGCAGCUGGAUGCGGUGUUUCAGCAGCCACUCUUGAAGGAAAUGUAACAGCAAUUUUCAAUAAUAGACAGGGGGAUGCUGAGUUGCCUGCAGAUCCGCAGGGCAGAAUCCAGCUGAUGACACGGAGAGGAUGAGCUGCCUGGUUGCACGGUCACGAUUUGGAGAGGUCAUCACUUGACUUCAAUGUCAUGUUUUGUUCCUGGUGUUCCCAGUGAAGACAGUCAAAAGCAAAUAAAAUCUUGUAUCGCCUCAGUAGAGAGUGAGGAAAAGUUUUUGGAUUCUGCAGCAGAAAUGGAUUCUAGAAAUGGAUCCUAGAGAGGUGAUUUCAAGGGUCGCCAUUUUUAGCUGCUCAGCUUGAAUCACUGUGCAGAGGAAAACACCUCUGUCACGUCCGGGCUGUUUCUAUAACUCCAAAAAAUCUCUACAAUCAUCAUCCCCUCUGCAGAAAAGGUCUUUGAGAUAACAAAGAGAACACACUCUUUAAACAAGAAAGCAUGAAGAGCACUGGGAAAGCUUUUCAUACAGCCAGCAGGUUUGUGGCAGGGAGAGGCCCCUUUCCAGACACCAAGAGCUGCAGACACGGCGACAUCUUCAGUGCCACCAUACGCAGAGCCAGACUGUGGGGAGGGAGAGCUGCUGUUAGGACAGGUCAGCGGCCUUCAUUUGCAAUGCAAAACCAACCGGAAUUGUUUCUUCAAUCUGAUAGUGCAGAUUACACAGCAGUUUUGACCCUCGUAUAAAGUACUUUCUUCUUGAUCUGUUGACUGAGCCGGUCUUAAACUUUCCCAGGAGGGCACGCUGAUGGAAACAGGAUGCGAUAACCUCAAAAACUCGGAGAUGUAAUGAAUCGGGAUAUUGAGCAAGGAACCGCUCACCAACUGGAGCUGCUUGAGUCACUCUCCAGAUGUACCUAGAGCAUCCCUACCAUCUUCUGUGCAAGUUCCCGGGGCAGGUUGGACCCGAUGGCUUGUUUCUCACAGAAAGAGCAUUGCAGGAGCUCUUGUGGAGAUGUUUUCAGUCUAAUAGCAGAGGUUGGAGCAGUUUGACAUUUCUUGAGUUGGGUGGGAUGAAUGAUAUUUCAUUAAUCACUGCUUUUGGAGUUACAUCACUGUCUAUGAAAUUGAAAAACAAAGUAUGACACGUAGUUUGAAAGGUUUUACCAUGGAAUUACGUAACUCUUCUGUGGUAGGGGAGUGGAACAGGCCAUCCUCCUGGGUUAGUCCAGUGUGGCUUUCUGUGCUACCUAAUGUCUUUUUCAUGUGAGAGUGGCUGUGUCUAAGCAGCACUGAAAAUUACACAACUGCUAAAUUGUGUCAUUGCUUUCCAUGGUCCCAAGAAAAUACUUUUAUUUUUCAUGUUAGAAAUCAGACACAGAACUACGAGAACCAGGCCUGUUAAAAUGGCAGUGACAUUUUUAAUAACCAACACCGGGGACUUUUUAAAUGAGCGGUGUUUGCAAGUGGAAAAUACCUAGCAACACGUCGCGAAUUUCCAUCGUCUUCCUGUGCUACAAGGAAGAAAAAUGCCAUUUUCAAAUGUGACCUUUUCCCCUCUUGUCCAUGGCACAAAUACAAUAAAAUAAAUACCCAAAGAACGGAUUAAUUAUUUGAAGGAUCCAAGCUAUGCAGCACUGGGUACCUGGGUCCAGCUGGCUGCCCUUUGCAGCAGGGGGUCCUCAUGCAUGUGGGCUGUUGUGGAAGCAGAACAAGAAGACAGAACCCUGCAGCAGAUGCUGGAAGCUUCUUGCCAACCCACAGCCUGGAGAGGCCGUCUGAGCACUUGGAGUUUGG